GACGAACGCUGGCGGCGUGCUUAACACAUGCAAGUCGAACGGAAAGGCCCUGCUUUUGUGGGGUGCUCGAGUGGCGAACGGGUGAGUAACACGUGAGUAACCUGCCCUUGACUUUGGGAUAACUUCAGGAAGCUGGGGCUAAUACCGGAUAGGAGCUCCUGCUGCAUGGUGGGGGUUGGAAAGUUUCGGCGGUUGGGGAUGGACUCGCGGCUUAUCAGCUUGUUGGUGGGGUAGUGGCUUACCAAGGCUUUGACGGGUAGCCGGCCUGAGAGGGUGACCGGCAACAUUGGGACUGAGAUACGGCCCAGACUCCUACGGGAGGCAGCAGUGGGGAAUAUUGCACAAUGGGCGGAAGCCUGAUGCAGCAACGCCGCGUGCGGGAUGACGGCCUUCGGGUUGUAAACCGCUUUCGCCUGUGACGAAGCGUGAGUGACGGUAAUGGGUAAAGAAGCACCGGCUAACUACGUG
rnacentral:rRNA from 1 species